rnacentral:lncRNA from 1 species
UUGCAGUAACGGACAAAAGAUGACAGUUGUGAGAACGCAGGAAGCUACCUACACAUGUUUAAUUCUAACAGGUGCCACGUAGGCAGAGAACGAAUUGAUAGUUCACCUUCAGACACAGGCGCUCUGCUGGCCCAAAAUCUUGUCUUGUUUUGCGUUUUCUCCCUCCCGUUCAGGCCACGUCAUAAGUUUGUUGGGAAGCGGACCCCCAACCCCUUUCUCUCUUUGUCGCUUUGAAUC